rnacentral:rRNA from 1 species
UACAGAGGUCUCAAGCGUUGUUCGGAUUCAUUGGGCGUAAAGGGUGCGUAGGCGGCGCGGUAAGUCGGGUGUGAAAUCUCGGGGCUUAACUCCGAAACUGCAUUCGAUACUGCCGUGCUUGAGGACUGGAGAGGAGACUGGAAUUUACGGUGUAGCGGUGAAAUGCGUAGAUAUCGUAAGGAAGACCAGUGGCGAAGGCGGGUCUCUGGACAGUUCCUGACGCUGGAGGCACGAAGGCUAGGGGAGCAAACGGG